UAUGGACCAAAACAAGAAAUAUAUAUCCAGUAAACAUGGGCUCAAAAAUGCAUACUGAAACGUCACUCUAAUUUUGUUUUGCACCAGUCCCUAUGAAUUUUAGAUGAAACCUUUGGAAACAGAAUAAUUGAAAAGGUCUCUGGACCCUCUGGGAUGCAGCUAAAACAUUUAUGUAUCAAAAUAACCCAAGGACACUAGAUGAUCCGAAAACAACAAUAACUGAUUAUCUGCAUUUGAUUACACAUGAAACAUUGGUAAAGGUGUUCACAAAUAAAUGUAAACGUGUUGAACUAUGUAUUCAAGAAAGAGGAAAAUUUUCCAGCACCUACUGUGAUAUUGCCACUAGUAGAGAAUCCUGGCUGCUAGCUUGUAUAGCAAAAUGAAUAUGCUGCUAACCUUUCGUGACCCGGAAGGGGAGACAUGCAGAGCUCGUUGCUGCAGAGCGACUUUUCAGGUGCAUUGCGUCUUCCAUUAUGGGGUUAUUAGCCCCAUGCCCAACCCCCAACCUGGAGGACCAGGAUUUGUAUGAGGUUUACUCCUCUAGGGAAGCUGGCUUCACUGCGCCUCUAGAGCCCUCCCUGCCCUAUGUUGUGGGCACACUUUGUCUGGCUCCUCUGUCGGGACCAGUCCGGCUUGGGAGAUCCUGCCAGUAGCUAUGCUACCGCCGGCAUAGCUCUCGACUUCACCGACUUUUAGAUGAAACCGUUGGAAACAGAAUAAUUGCAAAAGGUCUCUGGACCCUCUGGGAUGCAGCUAAAACAUUUAUGUAUCAAAAUAACCCAAGGACACUAGAUGAUCCAAAAACAACAAUAACUGAUUAUCUGCAUUUGAUUACACAUGAAACAUUGGUAAAGGUGUUCACAAAUAAAUGUAAACGUGUUGAACUAUGUAUUCAAGAAAGAGGAAAAUUUUCCAGCACCUACUGUGAUAUUGCCACUAAUAGAGAAUCCUGGCUGCUAGCUUAUACAGCAAAAUGAAUAUGCUGCUAACCUUUCGUGACCCGGAAGGGGAGACAUGCAGAGCUCGUUGCUGCAGAACGACUUUUCAGGUGCAUUGCGUCUUCCAUACAACUACCCACUCACAGAAAACAUGAACCAUUGGGCCUGAUAUGUUGCACUUCAAAGUG